AUCUAUGGUUUUUCGUUUUCCUCUUCCCAUCGUUAGCAGAUUGCUCAUCCUUGGGCGAGGCCUGCGAAGCCACACUGAUUGUCCACAGUGAAACUAAUGACAAAAUCAAGAAAGAAUCGAAAAGAUAAAAGUCACCUCAGCAAGAAGCGAGUCGAACUUUGGUACAAACGAUUAAUUGCUGCAGAAGUUAAAAGGGAAGAAAAGAGGCGCCGAGAAGAGUUAGAAUUAAAUCGCGAAGAUUCUGCACC